CCUAAGCUAUCACAAUCUUGUAUUAAAAAAAUACAUCAGGUUAUUUUUGGCAUAUACUUGCUUUUGACUGUCAUUUAUUUGUUAAAUUUAAAUUUGUUCUAAUUUUUUUUAUCUGAACUAAUCCUAAAACGCACGCUUGUUUUUUUUAGUUUUCUGCUUUGGUUAUUUUUCUCGUCGACACCGGAAUCCAAUUUUUUUUUUCUUGAGAUCUUAUCUACCAAUCUUAUCUGUCUAAAAUUAAUAACAGGCAGUUAUCAUUCUCGUGUGAAUAUUGCGCACCGUACUCUCUUUUAAUUUUUGUCCAUGAUAAAUAAGUUCAAGUUGAAUGAAAAACAUUAAUCAUUCGACUUUGAUACAAAACACACACGACUUGGUGCUCAUUCAACCACUAUACCUUUUAUACUUAAAAAACCUAUAAGACUGAAUAAAUAUGACUUGCAAGACUUGUGAAGUUGAAAAAGCUCGUUCUGUACCUUUAAAUUGGCAUUCAAGAUCCUCGCUAGUUUGGGAUCAUCCUUGUAAAUGUGGACCACAACUAGAAAAGACAAAAUACCAGGAACCCCAGCCGCAAAACUAUGUCAAUUGUUUGGCUUUAAGACUACUAUUGCAAAAAAAUUUCAAAUAAAUUUAAGGACUUUAUAUUUUUUAA